UUGCGCGUUUGCGGUGUUGAUGCUUGGAGCAUUCCGGCGAGUUCGUGUACGCUGUUCGCUUGAAAGCUUCCUGCUUUUCUGCGUUCUUUGUGUGCUUCGCUGUGACAUCUUUGGAAUAUUCCUGCGUGUUGCUCGCUUUUUAUGGGCUUGUUGCCUCGAAGAUCGCCAUUAUCGCCUCCGACUCAGCGACAUCAACGAUUCAAAGUGAGCUGGGAGACGCCCCAGCCGGAACGCUAAAGGUUCACAUAGGCUGUAAGAGUGCACAUUCAGAAGGUUAUCCUGGCCCAGCUUACUAUGGCCUGCCAUGGUGGACCAGGAAAGUUUGCAAGGGCCUUGCUUCACCAUGUGUUCACAGAGGAGGAGCUCAUGGGCCAUUUGGGCUUUGGAAAUAACACCAAGGGGCAACAGAGGCUCUUGACCCCAUCAGGGUCAGUGCUGUUAUAGGCUUCACGUGUCGCAAAUUUCCUGGUACCAACAUGCCCUAUGUAAAGAACUCUGGCCUCGCUUCUCGCAUGGGACCCUGCCCGUGAAGCAACUGCCCCUGCCCCUUCACCUCUGAAGAGCCCAAGUUGGACAGCUCAAACCAAAACACAAGUGUUGUGCUCUUGUAACUCUCGACAUUCUUAUGUUUUAUGUUAGUCUCCUGAGGGACCCAAUUUGGAUUUCUCAUAUGAGCAUACAAAUGUUGUGCCUUUCUAUGGCUUGACAUUUUUAUGUUAAUAUUUAUGUUAAUUAUGCUAGUCUCCUGAGAAGCCCACAUUGGAUUGCUCAAUCCAGAAUACAAGUGCUGUGCUUUGUUAUAGUUCACUACAUUUUUAUGUUAGUUUUUGAUAUGGUUCCAUUAAGGAUAGUGUUUCCUUAUUAAUAUAUUUUUUAAGUAUCUUAAGUCAUUUCAUGCCAAACCACCCAACAAUUUUUUCAAGAACUGUUCCAUUAUGGCAAACCAUUUCAAGUUUGCUUGAUUUUGAGUAGGUACAGCGAGAAAAUGUUCGAGAAAAUUUGCUUUCAUACAUACUCUUAAGUCAUUACAGGGCAACCAACCAGCGUUUUUUUGGCCAUCACAGAUAUAGUUGAAGCUUCGAACUCUUGCUCCCCAUUUAAUUUCCUUCACAAAAAUUUUUUUGAAUUUUGGCAAAAAUUUAUUGUUCUUGCCCAGCUAAGCUAGAAGCCACUGAUACACGUUUCUUCUGAAAGGGAAAUUGUAUGAUCCAGAUAUUCAGAUGGUGUUCAUGUCAAGAGACUGAAGUGGUGACUGCCAAAAUUUGCAAAGUUUGAAUUUUCUUCUAACGUAGGGAAAUACAGAAGGCACAAAAUGAAUAUAAAAUCAGACUGGUUCACUUGGUAUAGCUGCAAAAUAUUUCAAGGCUUGGAGGUUCAGUUGAUCAGCUAAAAAAACUAAAGUUGAAAUUUUUUGCAAGCUUCGUGUUGAAGGUAAAAAAUUAGCUUUGGUGGUUGGCACAAAAAUGUGUCACCCAUCACUACACAGCCGUACAUGUCUGCUAUGCAUGUGACAAGUAACAAAAAGUUAUUCUUUAAGUGCGAUAUAUUAUUUUUUAUAAUGUUCAUUUGUGGAUCACACAUACAGCAUAAAUAUAUGAAGCCAUGUCAUCUAGCAAGGAAAGGUUGUUAAUAUAUUAGCCACAGGAACUACUCAACAAACUGACUGCCUUUUUUAUCAUUACGAAAGCAGGUGACGUCAAGCGCUGCUGCUGCAGUCUCAACUCGUAUUUUUUUAACAUGAACGCAAAAAGUGGUCGCCAAUGGUGUCUGACCACAUCAGACUGAACAUGGCACAUAUGACUUUCAUAGAUGAGCAUGUUCCAGUUCUGAAACAGUGGUAGCAAACAACACCACAAGAAUUUGUUCAUACUCAUGUAGGUUUUCAGUCUGAAUUAUGAAGGUGUUUUCUACUUGCAUCAUCAUUGGGCUUCAGGGAGCAGGGCACAAAAUGUCCUGCUCCCUCUAUGUUGCAUUGCAAUGCGACAUGCCCUUUAAGAUGCUUUGUAUGAACAAUAUCAGUGCUCUUUCUGGAUUUACUGUCUACAUAAUAGCUGAUAUUUCUUUUUCUAAACUGCAUGGAACAUAUCUUUUAGCACUGCAGGAUUCCCUCACAUAUUUAUUACGUACAAGGUCUGUUAGAAAAGUAUUCGACCUUUUUUUGCGAACACCUGAUGAAUAUGAAACAAGCACGUUUUCAUCAGCCGCCCUUGAACCUUUGUGCGCAUGCACGAAUUUUUUCCCACCUGCCAAUAUCGUGAAUUGCUGAGACGCAGCGUUUGAAUGAGGUAGUACAGUGCUCUCGUCGGUUCUUUAUUGCAAGGAAAAUGGCAGAGCGACUGGAGCAGUGCUACUGCAUCAAAUUUUGCCAGAAACUGGGCGACAGCCAAGUGGAAACCAUCCGGAAGAUUCAGACUGCUUUCGGUGACUAUGCUAUGAGCAGCACACAGAUUAAGGAGUGGUACAACCAGUAUAAAGACGGCCACACAUCGGUUGAGAGCGAGCCACGCUCCAGUCGGCCAUCAACAUGCCGAAAUGACCAGGUCAUUGCCGAAGUGAACCCCGUGGUGAUGCGGGACCGUAGUGUAACUAUCCAAGAAAUUGCGGAAGAGGUGGGCAUCAGCACAUUUUAUCCACAUUCCAUUAUCACCGAAGAUUUGGCCAUGAAGAGAGUUGCGCCGAAAUUCGUUCCCAAGCUGCUCAUGGUGGAGCAAAAGCAACUUCGUGUUGAAGUCUCACAGACAUGCUGGAUUCCACAAACAGUGACCCCAACUUCAUGAACACCAUAAUCACUUGUGACAAGUCUUGGGUGUAUGUUUACGACCCGGAAACCAAAUCCCAGUCGUUACAGUGGAAGCAUUCCACACCAUAAUCACUUGUGACAAGUCUUGGGUGUAUGUUUACUUGGGUGUAUGUUUACGACCCGGAAACCAAAUCCCAGUCGUUACAGUGGAAGCAUUCCACACCAUAAUCACUUGUGACAAGUCUUGGGUGUAUGUUUACGACCCGGAAACCAAAUCCCAGUCGUUACAGUGGAAGCAUUCCACGUCGCCAACCAAAGACCGCUAAGUGUGCAGCAACGUCAAAGUGUUGCUGACUGCUUUCUUUGACUCCCGCAGUGUGGUACACCAAGGAUACACACCACAGGGUCAAACAAUCACUAAAGACUACUACAGGGAUGUCCUCCAUGGCCUAUGUGAUGCUGUAUGGAGCAUGAUACCGAAGUUGUCAACAGGAAAUUGGCACAUCUAUCACGACAAUGCUUUUCUCGCACUUGAUUCAGACUUUUUUGGCGAAAAACCAGACUCCUGUAGUUCGACAGGCUCCUUGCUCUCCUGAUAUGGCGGCCUGAACUUCUGGCUGUUUCCCGAAAUCAAGGGGCCAUUGAAACAAGCGUGAUUUCAGACAAGAGAAGACAUUAUGGCUGCAACGACAGCUGAGCUAAAGUCCAUUUGGAAAGAGGCCUUCUCGGAAUGCUUCUAACAAUGGCAGCACCGCUGGGAGGAAUGGCUGGAUUCCCAAGGAGACUAUUUUGAGGGUGAUUAAGUUUCCAACGCUUCAGUUAUGCCAGUUUUUUUUCUUCAGCCAAAGGUCGGAUACUCUUCUAACAGACCUCGUAUCGAUAUUUUAUGUGCAAUGGCUGUAUGGUUUGCCUGGCCCACACCAAACACAAGCCUCGUUGCAUUAGAGCAUGUGUCCCUUGGCAAUCAAAUGCAGACCCUAACACCGCUUCUUUGUCAUCCGUGUUGCAUACGAAGCCGACUUUGUCGUCUGCAUUCCCGGCCAGCAAGCUGUGCGCACCUCAGAGAAAAGUCGGUGCUGACAAAAUUUCAAAAAAGAAUUUCUCGCAUUUAAAAAUGCCUUUUUUAACUUCACACAUGCAAAGCAGACUUGUAGAGCUAUCCAAUAAUGUAUCACAUUUUUUCGCCAACUACGAAGGCUGUUUUUUCCUUGAACAUGAAGCUUCUUGCAAAAGAUUAGAAUUUUUUUUUACAGGCGAUCAACUGAACCUUCAGAGCUUCAUAUAUUUUUCUGCUAUACUAUGUCACCUGGGUCACCUAUGUCACCUAUGUCACCUAUUCUGUAUUUAAUUUCUGUCCUGUGAAUUUUUUCUGACGAAAAAAAAACUAACGGAUUGCAAUUUGACUCAUUUUUGCCGGUGCCAAAAGCAAUUGAAGUAUUCAAAUAUUUGAAAAAUUGGCUAUUUUGGCAGUUUCAUCACUUCACCGUAUUUCCACGCACACCAUUUGAAGGCCUCGAUCAAUACAAUGUGCAUUUGAAUAAAAAAAGUAUUUGAAGCAUUUGAAAAAAAAUGAAAAGCUAGAGGACAUUUGAUGUCCUCUAGCUCAGCUGAACAGGAAAACUAAACUGUCACCUAAAAUGCUACAAAAUAUCUGGCAAAAAUAAAUAAACUGGGUAACGAGCUUCGAAGUCUAGUAAACAUGUGGCAAUGUUUCAGAUAUAUGUGCGGUGUCAAAAAAAUGCUUGUCAAUUCGGCAUGGAAUCGUGUACCUGCAAGUGCAUCUGUGCCAUUUUUAGAGUUCAGUAAAAACGGCAUUUUACAUAACUUUGUAAAAAUGGUUUAUUGCUAUCUAAAAUACAUGAGUAAAAUUAAUAGGUAUAAGUCGGCUUAAAUUUAAUAUGCAACGAAACAUCUCCAGUAAUGGCGAUGAUGUGCCUUUUAUGUUUACAUAAAACCAUAUCUUCUGAAUUCUUUCGUUAUUUUUUGUGGCAGCGAAUAAAAUUGAAAUGGAACUCGCACAAGGAGCAAUUUUGCUGUAUUCCAGCACAUCUCUAAUAGCUGUCCUUGUUUCAUAUGAAAAUCUGAAGCGGUUAAUAUGAAUAAGUUGCUUGAUUUGGAAUUACCUGUGCAGGAACGUUAUCAUGGCAGAAAACACAACUGGAUCAUGCAACAGCAAUGCAGCAUAAUAAACUGCUCCCAUAAGCAUCACUUAUUGUGAUUGCCAUGUUUCAAAAGUAUGUAAGGUUUACUGAAAUUGGCGCACACCAUUCAACCAACAUAUAAGGAUUGUACAGUGAUCCUUUUUCAGUUUUACAGAUAUUUAAGUUGUCUGCCAGGUAGCAUAAUUCUUGUUCUUGAGCUGGAUUAUUCAGAGGUGGACAUUACUAGCACAAGAAAUGAAAACAUUAAACUGAUUGUCAUAAAUUUAUUAAUUCACUUAUAACAUCACAACACAUAUUUCAGUUUGCAAAUUGUAGCCAGUGAGUUUUCAAGACAUUCACUUGAAAUUAAUUUGCAAGAUGACACCAGUUUCGAAAUUUUUCCAUAAAUGUGAGAGAAAUACAUGGGCAUUCCAGUUACUUUUGUGCUUUGAUGCAUAACAGUGCGUUUUGUUAAAAAAAGUAAGUGCUACAGCAGUGCAUUUCUACAGCCAGUUUGAUGGCAUGUGUCUCGUUACUAGUGUCAUUCUGGAAAUUCAUUCUAAGUGCAUACACCUUGUAAAAUUACCGGCUACAAUUCGUAAAAACUUUAUUAGGAACUGAGUUUUUGUUAAUCAGCUGACUAUGGUGUCUUGUUUCUCAUGCAAGUAAUGUUUGUCACUCUGUAUCUAGAAUUAUGUUAGCUGCAACAGUCAGUCUUCAGUUCCAUGAAACUUAAAGAUAACCACCCUGCAUAUCAGGUCUCAGUUGAGUGCUGUGGGCACAAGCAAAUUGUGCCAUGGUUAUAGUACCACUGGCUACCUAAUAGAGAAAGCAAGUACCUUUUUUGAGUGUUCUUAUUUACAGUCAUGUCAGUCUGCUUGUACAUUUUUUUAUUUAGGCAUUUAUUUUUUAAAAUUUAUUUCUUUUGGUAAAUGUGUUUUACUUGAGAGCCACACUGACUACAUCUUCAGUAUUCAAUUUUGUUAUGGUGUCAAGCUGCAGGAAGUUUGUACUGUGCGAUAGUUUUUAAGAAGUUUCUGAUCUCAAACUACAAAUGGUUGUACAUUUACACAGAUGUGUGGUUACAAAUAAACAGUUCACCUAGAAAAA